rnacentral:rRNA from 1 species
CUGAGAGGAUGACCAGCCACACUGGAACUGAGACACGGUCCAGACUCCUACGGGAGGCAGCAGUGGGGAAUAUUGCACAAUGGGCGCAAGCCUGAUGCAGCCAUGCCGCGUGUAUGAAGAAGGCCUUCGGGUUGUAAAGUACUUUCAGCGGGGAGGAAGGGAGUAAAGUUAAUACCUUUGCUCAUUGACGUUACCCGCAGAAGAAGCACCGGCUAACUCCGUGCCAGCAGCCGCGGUAAUACGGAGGGUGCAAGCGUUAAUCGGAAUUACUGGGCGUAAAGCGCACGCAGGCGGUUUGUUAAGUCAGAUGUGAAAUCCCCGGGCUCAACCUGGGAACUGCAUCUGAUACUGGCAAGCUUGAGUCUCGUAGAGGGGGGUAGAAUUCCAGGUGUAGCGGUGAAAUGCG